rnacentral:rRNA from 1 species
UUAAGCGACUAAGCGUACACGGUGGAUGCCCUGGCAGUCAGAGGCGAUGAAGGACGUGCUAAUCUGCGAUAAGCGUCGGUGAGGUGAUAUGAACCGUUAUAACCGGCGAUUUCCGAAUGGGGAAACCCAGUGUGAUUCGUCACACUAUCAUUAACUGAAUCCAUAGGUUAAUGAGGCGAACCGGGGGAACUGAAACAUCUAAGUACCCCGAGGAAAAGAAAUCAACCGAGAUUCCCCCAGUAGCGGCGAGCGAACGGGGAGGAGCCCAGAGCCUGAAUCAGUGUGUGUGUUAGUGGAAGCGUCUGGAAAGGCGCGCGAUACAGGGUGACAGCCCCGUACACAAAAAUGCACAUACUGUGAGCUCGAUGAGUAGGGCGGGACACGUGGUAUCCUGUCUGAAUAUGGGGGGACCAUCCUCCAAGGCUAAAUACUCCUGACUGACCGAUAGUGAACCAGUACCGUGAGGGAAAGGCGAAAAGAACCCCGGCGAGGGGAGUGAAAAAGAACCUGAAACCGUGUACGUACAAGCAGUGGGAGCCUCUUAAUGGGGUGACUGCGUACCUUUUGUAUAAUGGGUCAGCGACUUAUAUUCUGUAGCAAGGUUAACCGAAUAGGGGAGCCGAAGGGAAACCGAGUCUUAACUGGGCGUUAAGUUGCAGGGUAUAGACCCGAAACCCGGUGAUCUAGCCAUGGGCAGGUUGAAGGUUGGGUAACACUAACUGGAGGACCGAACCGACUAAUGUUGAAAAAUUAGCGGAUGACUUGUGGCUGGGGGUGAAAGGCCAAUCAAACCGGGAGAUAGCUGGUUCUCCCCGAAAGCUAUUUAGGUAGCGCCUCGUGAAUUCAUCUCCGGGGGUAGAGCACUGUUUCGGCAAGGGGGUCAUCCCGACUUACCAACCCGAUGCAAACUGCGAAUACCGGAGAAUGUUAUCACGGGAGACACACGGCGGGUGCUAACGUCCGUCGUGAAGAGGGAAACAACCCAGACCGCCAGCUAAGGUCCCAAAGUCAUGGUUAAGUGGGAAACGAUGUGGGAAGGCCCAGACAGCCAGGAUGUUGGCUUAGAAGCAGCCAUCAUUUAAAGAAAGCGUAAUAGCUCACUGGUCGAGUCGGCCUGCGCGGAAGAUGUAACGGGGCUAAACCAUGCACCGAAGCUGCGGCAGCGACACUAUGUGUUGUUGGGUAGGGGAGCGUUCUGUAAGCCUGUGAAGGUGGCCUGUGAGGGUUGCUGGAGGUAUCAGAAGUGCGAAUGCUGACAUAAGUAACGAUAAAGCGGGUGAAAAGCCCGCUCGCCGGAAGACCAAGGGUUCCUGUCCAACGUUAAUCGGGGCAGGGUGAGUCGACCCCUAAGGCGAGGCCGAAAGGCGUAGUCGAUGGGAAACAGGUUAAUAUUCCUGUACUUGGUGUUACUGCGAAGGGGGGACGGAGAAGGCUAUGUUGGCCGGGCGACGGUUGUCCCGGUUUAAGCGUGUAGGCUGGUUUUCCAGGCAAAUCCGGAAAAUCAAGGCUGAGGCGUGAUGACGAGGCACUACGGUGCUGAAGCGACAAAUGCCCUGCUUCCAGGAAAAGCCUCUAAGCAUCAGGUAACAUUAAAUCGUACCCCAAACCGACACAGGUGGUCAGGUAGAGAAUACCAAGGCGCUUGAGAGAACUCGGGUGAAGGAACUAGGCAAAAUGGUGCCGUAACUUCGGGAGAAGGCACGCUGAUAUGUAGGUGAAGCGACUUGCUCGUGGAGCUGAAAUCAGUCGAAGAUACCAGCUGGCUGCAACUGUUUAUUAAAAACACAGCACUGUGCAAACACGAAAGUGGACGUAUACGGUGUGACGCCUGCCCGGUGCCGGAAGGUUAAUUGAUGGGGUUAGCGGCAACGCGAAGCUCUUGAUCGAAGCCCCGGUAAACGGCGGCCGUAACUAUAACGGUCCUAAGGUAGCGAAAUUCCUUGUCGGGUAAGUUCCGACCUGCACGAAUGGCGUAAUGAUGGCCAGGCUGUCUCCACCCGAGACUCAGUGAAAUUGAACUCGCUGUGAAGAUGCAGUGUACCCGCGGCAAGACGGAAAGACCCCGUGAACCUUUACUAUAGCUUGACACUGAACAUUGAGCCUUGAUGUGUAGGAUAGGUGGGAGGCUUUGAAGUGUGGACGCCAGUCUGCAUGGAGCCGACCUUGAAAUACCACCCUUUAAUGUUUGAUGUUCUAACGUGGGCCCGUAAUCCGGGUUGCGGACAGUGUCUGGUGGGUAGUUUGACUGGGGCGGUCUCCUCCUAAAGAGUAACGGAGGAGCACGAAGGUUGGCUAAUCCUGGUCGGACAUCAGGAGGUUAGUGCAAUGGCAUAAGCCAGCUUGACUGCGAGCGUGACGGCGCGAGCAGGUGCGAAAGCAGGUCAUAGUGAUCCGGUGGUUCUGAAUGGAAGGGCCAUCGCUCAACGGAUAAAAGGUACUCCGGGGAUAACAGGCUGAUACCGCCCAAGAGUUCAUAUCGACGGCGGUGUUUGGCACCUCGAUGUCGGCUCAUCACAUCCUGGGGCUGAAGUAGGUCCCAAGGGUAUGGCUGUUCGCCAUUUAAAGUGGUACGCGAGCUGGGUUUAGAACGUCGUGAGACAGUUCGGUCCCUAUCUGCCGUGGGCGCUGGAGAACUGAGGGGGGCUGCUCCUAGUACGAGAGGACCGGAGUGGACGCAUCACUGGUGUUCGGGUUGUCAUGCCAAUGGCACUGCCCGGUAGCUAAAUGCGGAAGAGAUAAGUGCUGAAAGCAUCUAAGCACGAAACUUGCCCCGAGAUGAGUUCUCCCUCACCCUUUAAGGGUCCUGAAGGAACGUUGAAGACGACGACGUUGAUAGGCCGGGUGUGUAAGCGCAGCGAUGCGUUGAGCUAACCGGUACUAAUGAACCGUGAGGCUUAACCUU